rnacentral:ncRNA from 1 species
UGACCUCGGAUCAGACGUGAUUACCCGCUGAAUUUAAGCAUAUUAUUAAGCGGAGGAAAAGAAACUAACAAGGAUUCCCCUAGUAACGGCGAGUGAACGGGGAAGAGCCCAACACCGAAUCCCUUGGCGCAAGUCAACGGGAAAUGUGGUGUUAAGGUAGCCCUUCGUGUCAGUCUAGGCGUCUCAAGUCCACCUGAUUGUGGCUCAAGCCCAGAGAGGGUGUAAGGCCCGUAGAGACGCUCCGACUGAUUCCUGGGGUUUACCUACGAGUCGGCUUGUUUGGGAAUGCAGGCCAAAGCGGGUGGUAAACUCCAUCCAAGGCUAAAUACUGGCACAGUCCGAUAGCGGACAAGUACCGUGAGGGAAAGUUGAAAAGAACUUUGAAGAGAGAGUUCAAUAGUACGUGAAACCGCUUAGAGGCAAACGGAUGGUGCUCAUACUGGCCUGAGGAAUUCAACUGUGACGGUGGCUGGACGAGCUGGCGUUCCGAUCUCUCUUUUGGGACGGGCGUCGGUUUGGCUAUCAGCUCCGACAUGGUGCACUUUCCUUGGUGCCUCCGCCACGACCGACGACACUGGCUACCCGCGGCUGGGGUAAGGUGACAAACUGCUUCGGCAAUUUGUGUUAUAGACCCCGGCGUCGGACAUGGUUUGGCCAGGACGUCGAGCUUGCGGCGCCCGCUCCUUGUGGGCUCGCAUGUUGGCUAGCUUGGCUGCGCCGAUGCUUGCACUGGACAACCAGUACAGGUGACGGUUGUGGUCUUGUCUCUAGUUGGCCUCUGCGAGUUUGGCGCCUAUAGUCUGUGGUGUACUUGUGGGUAGACUAUCCGACCCGUCUUGAAACACGGACCAAGGAGUCUAACAUGUGCGCGAGUCAUGGGAUUCUACGAAACCCAAAGGCGCAGUGAAAGUAAAGGCCUGCUUCUCGUAGGCUGAGGUGGGAUCUCGUGCAUCGCGAUUGGCGAGCGCACCACCGGCCCGUCCUAUCUGUCUCUGUCAGUGGGGCGGCGCAAGAGCGUACACGUUGGGACCCGAAAGAUGGUGAACUAUGCUUGCGCAGCUCGAAGUCAGUGGAAACACUGAUGGAGGAGCGCAGCGUUUCUGACGUGCAAAUCGAUCGUCAAACGUGAGUAUAGGGGCGAAAGACUAAUCGAACCAUCUAGUAGCUGGUUCCCUCCGAAGUUUCCCUCAGGAUAGCUGGCACUCGGGAAACAGUUUUAUCCGGUAAAGCGAAUGAUUAGAGGCAUUGGGGUCGAAACGACCUCGACUAUU